AUGAGCAGAGAAGUGGCUGAGCAGGAAGAACGCCUCAGGCGGGGUGAUGACCUCAGAUUACAGAUGGCCCUGGAAGAAAGCCGAAGGGACACAGUUAAAAUUCCAAAAAAGAAAGAGACUACGCUGUUGGAUUUAAUGGAUGCUCUCCCCAGCUCGGGCCCUGCGGCCCAGAAAGCAGAGCCCUGGGGCCCGUCAGCCUCCACUAACCAGACCAACCCCUGGGGCGGGCCAGCGGCUCCUGCGAGUACUUCAGACCCCUGGCCAUCGUUUGGUACCAAGCCAGCUGCCUCCAUUGACCCAUGGGGGGUGCCCACUGGAGCCACCACACAAUCUGUCCCCAAGAACUCGGACCCCUGGGCAGCUUCACAGCAGCCUGCCUCCAGUGCUGGGAAAAGAGCUUCUGACGCGUGGGGCGCAGUCUCCACCACCAAGCCUGUGUCUGUCUCUGGGUCCUUUGAGCUCUUCAGUAAUCUGAAUGGUACAAUUAAAGACGACUUUUCUGAAUUUGACAACCUUCGGACUUCAAAAAAAACAGGCCAAAGUAUAGCCUAACCUGUCCUUGACUCCUGCUCCGUGCCUCAGUGAGAAGGCAGCUUGG
rnacentral:sRNA from 1 species